rnacentral:rRNA from 1 species
CCUACGGGAGGCAGCAGUGAGGAAUAUUGGUCAAUGGACGAGAGUCUGAACCAGCCAAGUAGCGUGAAGGAUGACUGCCCUAUGGGUUGUAAACUUCUUUUAUAUGGGAAUAAAAUGUUCCACGUGUGGGAUUUUGUAUGUACCAUAUGAAUAAGGAUCGGCUAACUCCGUGCCAGCAGCCGCGGUAAUACGGAGGAGCCGAGCGUUAUCCGGAUUUAUGGGGUUUAAGGGGAGCGUAGGUGGAUGGUUAAGUUGGUUGUGAAGGUUUGCGGUGCAACCGGAAGAUUGCAGUUGAAACUGGCAGUCUAGAGUACAGUAGAGGUGGGGGGAAUUCGUGGUGUAGCGGUGAAAUGCGUAGAUAUCAGGAAGAACGCCGAUUGCGAAGGCAGUUCACUGGACUGCAACUGACACUGAGGAUCGAAAGUAUGGGUAGCAAACAGGAUUAGAUACCCGUGUAGUC